rnacentral:rRNA from 1 species
UACAGAGGUCUCAAGCGUUGUUCGGAUUCAUUGGGCGUAAAGGGGUGCGUAGGCGGCGCGGUAAGUCGGGUGUGAAAUCUCGGAGCUUAACUCCGAAACUGCAUUCGAUACUGCCGUGCUUGAGGACUGGAGAGGAGACUGGAAUUUACGGUGUAGCUGGUGAAAUGCGUAGAUAAUCGUAGGGAAGACCAGUGGCGAAGGGCGGCUCUCUGGAACGCAACUGACGCUGAGACGCGAAAGCGUGGGGAGCAAACAGG